rnacentral:rRNA from 1 species
UUUGUGGAGAGUUUGAUCCUGGCUCAGGACGAACGCUGGCGGCAUGCCUAACACAUGCAAGUCGAACGGAGAGCGGAAGUUUCGAUGGAAGCUCUUAGUGGCGGACGGGUGAGUAACGCGUGGAUAACCUGCCUGAGAGUGGGGGAUAACAGCCCGAAAGGGCUGCUAAUACCGCAUAACGUUCCUGGAGGACAUCCUCUGGGAACCAAAGGAGCAAUCCGCUCUUGGAUGGGUCCGCGUCCGAUUAGCUCGUUGGUGAGGUAAUAGCUCACCAAGGCGACGAUCGGUAGCCGGCCUGAGAGGGUGAACGGCCACACUGGGACUGAGACACGGCCCAGACUC